rnacentral:rRNA from 1 species
CCUACGGGUGGCAGCAGUGGGGGAUAUUGGACAAUGGGGGAAACCCUGAUCCAGCACCGCCGCGUGAGUGAAGAAGUAUUUCGGUAUGUAACGCUCUAUCCGCAGGGUAGAAAUAAGUGACGGUACCUGAGUACUAAGCCCCGGCUAACUACGUGCCAGCAGCCUCGGUAAUACGUAGGGGGCAAGCGUUAUCCGGAAUUACUGGGUGUAACGGGAGCGUAGACGGUAAUGCAAGUCUGGAGGGAAAGGCGGGGGCCCAACCCCCGGACUGCUCUGGAAACUGUGUAACUGGAGUGCAGGAGAGGCAGGCGGAAUUCCUAGUGUAGCGGUGAAAGGCGUAGAUAUUAGGAGGAACACCAGUGGCGAAGGCGGCUUGCUGGACUGUAACUGACGUUGAGGCUCGAAAGCGUGGGGAGCAAACAGGAUUAGAUACCCGAGUAGUC